UGAAUGGGAAGAUGAGCAGUAGAAAUUCAUCUUCAAAUGAAAGCAAAGGGGGACUGGAUUGUUAGACCACAAAUUGGGUACAGUGACUUUUUCAUUUUUCUCUGUAAUUUAGCUCUGAUCUCAAACCUGCAAAAUGAAGGCUUGUAGUUAACAAGACUCAUCUUCCUACAACUUUCUAAGCUCACCUGAAUAUUUAUGGGAAAUACAAAACAUAACUUAUGUGCAGUGACAAACAUACAGGCUGUUGCUAAAUAUAUGAGCACAGCGUGCCUCACUCCUGGUCUUCACCCUGAGCUCUGCUCAGGGCAUGCUGUGGGUCUGCAGCUGAAGUAGUUCAUGGUUUAAUCCACGCAGAGGCAGAUGGCAAGUGCUAAACUCCAGUUCACAGCUGCUGUCAAAAGUGGAUGAGUGGAACUGGAAAUUCAG